GUAGGUGGCAAGCGUUGUCCGGAAUUAUUGGGCGUAAAGCGCGCGCAGGCGGUUCUUUAAGGGUCUGAUGUGAAAGCCCACGGCUCAACCGUGGAGGUCAUUGGAAACUGGAGAACUUGAGUACAGAAGAGGAAAGCGGAAUUCCACGUGUAGCGGUGAAAUGCGUAGAGAUGUGGAGGAACACCAGUGGCGAAGGCGGCUUUCUGGUCUGUAACUGACGCUGAGGCGCGAAAGCGUGGGGAGCAAACAGGAUUAGAUACCCUGGUAGUCCACGCCGUAAACGAUGAGUGCUAAGUGUUAGGGGGUUUCCGCCCCUUAGUGCUGCAGCUAACGCAUUAAGCACUCCGCCUGGGGAGUACGGCCGCAAAGGCUG
rnacentral:rRNA from 1 species